rnacentral:rRNA from 1 species
UACGUAGGGGGCGAGCGUUGUUCGGAAUUACUGGGCGUAAAGGGCGCGUAGGCGGCCUGCUAAGUCGAACGUGAAAUCCCCGAGCUCAACUCGGGAACUGCGUCCGAUACUGGCAGGCUUGAAUCCGGGAGAGGGAUGCGGAAUUCCAGGUGUAGCGGUGAAAUGCGUAGAUAUCGGGAGGAACACCAGUGGCGAAGGCGGUUGCCUGGGGCUUUGCUGACGCUGAGGCGCGAAAGCGUGGGGAGCGAUCCGG